GAUGAACGCUGGCGGCGUGCCUAAUACAUGCAAGUCGAGCGAACAGACGAGGAGCUUGCUCCUCUGACGUUAGCGGCGGACGGGUGAGUAACACGUGGAUAACCUACCUAUAAGACUGGGAUAACUUCGGGAAACCGGAGCUAAUACCGGAUAAUAUAUUGAACCGCAUGGUUCAAUAGUGAAAGACGGUUUUGCUGUCACUUAUAGAUGGAUCCGCGCCGCAUUAGCUAGUUGGUAAGGUAACGGCUUACCAAGGCAACGAUGCGUAGACGACCUGAGAGGGUGAGCAGGCACACUGGGAGGGAGACACGGCACAGAGUACUACGGGAGGAAGCAGUGGGGAAUAUGGGAGAAUGGGCGAAAGACUAAUACAGAAAUGACGCGUGAGUGAUGAAGGCAUUAGGGUUGUAAAGCUAUUUUACCCGGGAUGAUAAUGACAGGACCGAAAGAAUAAGAUACGGCUAACUCCGUG
rnacentral:rRNA from 1 species